GAGGGUAUAGGUCAGUGGUAGAGCGCAUGCCUAGCAUGCACGAGGUCCUAGGUUCAAUCCCCGGUACCUCCA
rnacentral:tRNA from 1 species